CUUCAGCGGCUGUGGACAGCGGUAGGAAGAAACCCAAGUGAGAGAAGCAGGGCUUGGUGGGUCUCUGUGUGAGACUCCCCUUCAGUGACUGUCAGCAAUAAGAAGGGCCACCAGGUUCCAGAUGCUACUGCGACACCAACCAGACUCCCCUGGGCAGAUGACCGACCUCACCCAUGUGUGUCCUGGAACCCCGUCUCCCCAGAGUUCUGCCCCACUAGGGAAAGAGAGAAACAGGCUAGGGGUGUGGAUUGACCUGCUAAUACCCAUGUCCAGUGGAGAAGCAAUGACAGAAGCCAGAACUCCCACCUUCUGCUCCCCAUAAUGAUUCUGGGUCCAUGCUCCCAGAGGGAUAAAGAACAGGAAA